UUUUAAAAUUUCAUACAAAAAACCCAUCACAAAUCUUUCCCCUUGAUGAUGUACAACAAUCUUAUAAUAUCGAUAGCAGGCUGCGUUUCAAGCUAUAGGAUCUUUUUGAACUCCAGGGAGCAGCAAACUUCAGGCCAAACAUCUCCUUUGAAGUCUGCCAACAACCUUUAGCUACAACAGUGACACUGUCUCUGUACAAGUCCAUAGGCGGUUGGCUGCCUCUGCAUUAAUUGGUAGCUCAGCAAGUGUCUCUCAUGGCGCAGAGCCUUGAGGCUGUUAUAAAGGGAAACAACAUGUCAAUGAUCAAAACAAGCUUAGCAUUUAUUAACUCAGUAUUUAACGGAGCUUAGCGGUAUAUAAAAUAUAAAUACCAUAUGAAUGAUGCACUAUUGAUCUGUUGCCAAUCAGCAUGCAAAUGACAAGUAGAAACAAGAAUAAACAAGACCAGAAGUAGCAACUGUUUUUGUUUUCAUUAAGAACAUACACCCGGCUCUGUCCAGAAGAAAGGGCAACGUUUUUCUUUGG
rnacentral:lncRNA from 1 species